GAUGAACGCUGGCGGCGUGCCUAAUACAUGCAAGUCGAGCGAAUGGAUUAAGAGCUUGCUCUUAUGAAGUUAGCGGCGGACGGGUGAGUAACACGUGGGUAACCUGCCCAUAAGACUGGGAUAACUCCGGGAAACCGGGGCUAAUACCGGAUAACAUUUUGAACCGCAUGGUUCGAAAUUGAAAGGCGGCUUCGGCUGUCACUUAUGGAUGGACCCGCGUCGCAUUAGCUAGUUGGUGAGGUAACGGCUCACCAAGGCAACGAUGCGUAGCCGAACUGAGAGGGUGAUCGGCCACACUGGGACUGAGACACGGCCCAGACUACUGCGGGAGGCAGCAGUAGGGAAUCUGCCGAAAUGGACGAAAGUCUGACGGAGCAACGCCGCGUGAGUGAUGAAGACUUUCGGGUCGUAAAACUCUGUUGUUAGGGAAGAACAAGUGCUAGUUGAAUAAGCUGGCACCUUGACGGUACCUAACCAGAAAGCCACGGCUAACUACGUGCCAGCCGCCGCAGUAA
rnacentral:rRNA from 1 species